UAACCUGCCUGGAAGUGAGAUGCAUCUGGAUAUACAUGAUUUAAGUGCUAUACAGAACAGAAUUGAUUUGGGGCUACUGGUCUUUGGUAAGCACCUAUUUUUAGAUGAUGCAUUUGAUUAUUCUGGCAUUCCAUUUUAUGCGCAUCAGAUAAAAUCUGUUUUUCUUUAUCACAGUUUUGUUUGAUGUGGGUUUAUUUGCAUAAUAUUUACUAAAGAAAAUGGUUUGAGGUGAAGAGCCGAAGGCCUGAAGCCAAAUGUUCCUAAUUAGGACGAUGACCUUCAGGAAACAAGGCCAACGCUAUGUGUGCCUGCAAGAUUGAAGAUCCUAGAUAUUUUUAGUUUUCUCCAUGAUCCUACACCAUUGUAUCACUUUAUGCAGAACCCUUUAUCAUUCAUUUUUAUGUUCAAAAUAUGGUUGUCAUAGAUGGUAUUACAGGGAUUUUUUUUCGAAAAGGGGUUUACCCCAGCCUCUGCAUCAGAACGAUGCAUACGGCUCAUAUUACUAAAAGCAUAAU
rnacentral:lncRNA from 1 species